rnacentral:rRNA from 1 species
CUACGGGCGGCUGCAGGUAAGAGUAAUCUACAAUGCACGAAAGUGUGAUAGUUUGAGUCAGAGUGUUUUGCAAUUUGCAAAGCUUUUGUGAAAUUUAAAACGUUUCACGAAUAAGGACUGGGUAAGACUAGUGCCAGCCGCCGCGGUAAUACUAGCGGUGCCAAGUCGCAGCCAUUUUUAUUGGGUCUAAAACAUCCGUAGCUUGCUUGAUAAGUUUCUUGUGAAAUUUUAUGUCUCAAGCAUAGAGCGUGCAAGAAAUACUAUUAAGCUAGAGACUGGAAGACGUAAGAAGUACGUUUGAAGUAGUGGUAAAAUAUGUUAAUAUCAAGCGGACUCACAAUAGCGAAGGCAUCUUACGAGGACAGUUCUGACAGUAAGGGAUGAAGGCUAGGGGCGCAAAACGGAUUAGAUACCCUCGUAGUC